AUUGAACGCUGGCGGAAUGCUUUACACAUGCAAGUCGAACGGUAGAGGGGGCAACCCCUCGAGAGUGGCGAACGGGUGAGUAAUAUAUCGGAACGUGCCCAGUCGUGGGGGAUAACGUAGCGAAAGUUACGCUAAUACCGCAUACGAUCUAAGGAUGAAAGCGGGGGAUCGCAAGACCUCGCGCGAUUGGAGCGGCCGAUAUCAGAUUAGGUAGUUGGGGGGGUAACAGCUCACCAAGCCAACGAUCUGUAGCUGGUCUGUGCGGACGAAUAGCCACACUGGAACUGAGACACGGUCCAGACUCCUACGGGAGGCAGCAGUGGGGAAUUUUGGACAAUGGACGCAAGUCUGAUCCAGCCGUUCCGCGUGCAGGAUGAAGGCCCUCGAGUUGUAAACUGCUUUUGUACGGAACGAAAAGGUCUCUCUUAAUACGGGGGACUCAUGACGGUACCGUAAGAAUAAGCACCGGCUAACUACGUGCCAGCCGCCGCCGUAA
rnacentral:rRNA from 1 species